UUUUUUUUUUUUUUUAUAAUAAGAAAGAUAAUGUAGAUGACUCAUCCAUUUGUUUAUCAAUUCUUCACAUAUCUCACUUACAACUCACAUGGAUCCAUUCAUAUACAAUAUGAAUUAUGACACUCUGGUGAUUGAUAAGAAAAGAGAUAAAAUUGUCCACGUAUAAAAUUUAAAUUAAAGUUAUUGAGGUUGAAUGAAUACGUAAAUUUACAGUAAAAGUAAUUGAUAAAUAGAUAAUGAUAGAGUUUCUAAAAACCCGUUUAAACUAAAGUUAUUGAGGUCGGAUGAAUACGUAAAUUUAAAGUAAAAGUAAUUGAUAAAUAGAUAAUGAUAGAGUUUCUAAGAAAGCCGUGAAAAUAUGAGGGAGUCAAGUCAAGAAAGGGUUAGGAGUUUUCAAUAAUGACAUUUUAGAGAUUACGAAAUAAUAUUAGGAAUAUAUUACUAAAAUUUAAAAAUUUUGAGCUGAAAAAUUAUAAGUAUGAGAUGAUCAAUUUAACUUAAUUGUGGAGGUAUGGGAUUGGUUAAUGAUAUCAACAUAAAAUGUUCUCAUUACACCAACAUUAUCUAAAGACAAUGCCUAUGCUUAGUAAUAUUCCCUCCAUUCCAUUUUAUAUGUCACAUUUUUACUUUGUACUUGCAUUAAAAAAUGAUGUAACUUUACCCUUCUACCCUUAUUUAAUGUUUUCUUAAGUCAACUUUAUUAAUAAAUGACAAGAUUAAUUAACUAUUCUAUCAAGGGUAUAAUAGACAAAAUAUGAUAAUUUAUGAGGGAGUAAUAAUAAAGAGAAAAAUUAGCAAGUGUUAUAUCACAUAUUUUUACUUAUUUAUGUUUGACUUGACACACCUAUUAAGAUCAUCUAAAGGGGUGUAUUCAUUUUUCAAUAUUUAACUGACUUUGUCCCUACUAUUUAUAAGUCAUCUAAAUAUUGAAAAAUGUAUAGUAUUUAAUAGCAAAGAUAAAAUAGACAUAAAAUGAUAAAUUUAUCUCUUAAUUUUUCAAACUAAACAAAUAAAGUUGAAUGAAAACGUGGACAAAUAAAAAUGGACAAAGAGAGUAAAACGUUAUCCAUAUAUAUAAUUAGAGAAAACGUGGACAACUGUUCAAAUCCAUUAGGAAGUGAAAGAAUACACAUCCCCAACAUCAUGAUCUCAACCACCUUACACAGUAAUUAAUGACCUUAUGGAGCCAACGGCCAACCUGCUUCUUUCUCAACAAUAAUUCAAACUCUUUAUUUCUUAUUUAGUGGGUUUUCAUUGAUUUCAAGGUAUUGGAUGGUAUAGACAAAUAUAUCCAAUAAUCUAAUAUUUUAUUUCGAAAUUAUAAUCCUUAUCAACCAACCAAAGCACCUUGAGAAUUGCGUACAAAGCAGAUGGAUGAAAAAGUAGGGAACAUUGACAGUUGAUUUGGCUUUAUAUGAACAAAAAUAUCAUAGAGGAAGGUGAAUUUAACCAUGAGUUAUAUAUAGACAGUAAGUUCUGCAAUAUACAUUCAACUUUAUAUCAUAUACUAGAGUACACAUAUACGUGAAAAACAAGUAUAUAAAACAUAACUUUUUUUUUUAUGACAAGGGAAACCCGAUGUCGCUACCCUUUAGGUGCGCACAAGGUAAAACCCCCGCUCCUAUGCAAUAUCUCGCAAACCACAUAGGAGAGGUAACCCGCACUAGGCAAGCCCGGUGCGACGAGCUCAACCCAGAAGGCAAACUCCUUGCUUUCGCUGGCAAGGGGUUUCGAACUUGAGACCUCCAAUAUGAAAGUCCAAGCCCAAAUCACUGGGCCACCCCGAAGGGUAGUAUAUAAUACAUAACUUACUGUCACGAUUUCAAAUUCAUCCUGAUUCAAAUACUGAAACUCCAUUAGAGAUGAAUCAAAAAUACUUUUAACACAUCAAAAAAAGUGGAAUAAAUGUUUGAAUCAGGAUAUACAGAUCACCAUUUCGAACGCAUGACAUCUAAGUUUUAAUCCUGAUUCAAAUAGUAACAGUUACAGAGAUUUUCUGUCCAAAGAGUAGGAACUCUGCAAGGACUCCAUAUAUAUGUCAUCAUGAACAAGUUCAAACCCAAAUUUAGUAGCUAUUGCACACAACUGAAACAGUAACUUUGUUUGUUUGGCUAAAAGGCAUGCAGUACACAAUGAUGUUGUUUAUCAACUCUCAAGUUUAAGUGCUAUGAUUCUUUAUUACUAUACCUAGAGGUGCAUGUUCUAUUCUUUUUUGCCAAACAAAAAACUAUAAUCAGCAGUAGACUAGCAUUACUCACACCACUUGUUCAUUAUUGUAGUUAGCUGAGCAUGCUGUAAUGACUUUCCUUUCAGCACAUACAAUCCAUAGUCUUCUUUACCAAUCCUCUUCACCUGAUUACUGAAGAGGUUUUCAAAUAUACCAAACUCAGCGAAGAAUACUACUGAACAUCUCAACUCCUUGGUAAAUUGUGAAACUGAUCACAAGUUGUACUUGAAAUCAUGAAUAUACAAAUAAUCAUUCCUAUCAUCUCUAGAUUGGAUGUAAUGUGGUUUGAUGCCUAUUAUUCACUAUCCAGUUACUAUAUACUAAAUAUGACAUUAAGUUUAUCAAAGUACCUGCAGUUGCAGCUUCCCCAUUUGUUUGAGAUGUUCCUUCUUCGUUUCCCAUGUUCAGCAUUUGAAAAGCUUGUUGGUUCUGCUUGAUGGGCUGGUUGUGGAACUGCUUGUGGGUAUCCUCAUAUGCCUUGAUUAGCAGUCAAGUUAUAUCCAUCUAGAAAACUUACCUCACAUUACCAGCAUGAUUAACAUAAGUUCAGGUCUCCCUCCUUUCUUUUUGCACUUCAAAAUCUGGUGGAUACCCCAGUUCUUUUGUAUGUCCUUUGGUGUCGAAAUAUUCACACUGCACUGGGAUUUUCCUCGACUUGAAAUUAUAUCCCGAGUUAACACCACCUUUGUUAUUGAAGCAUGCAACUCAUUCUCUUACCUCUACAACAUGUGCAAAGUUUGCCAAAGAUGUCUAAUUCUCCUAAGAAAUUAUCAUUGGCAUAACCAGUAUUUGGCUUCUAGAUUGAGCAUAAGACUCAUUAUAGCCCAUUAGGAUUAUAGAAGUCUACUAUAUUCAAAAUGCUCUGUAGUUCUUAGAUUCUGGACAUGCACUUCCAAGAUAGAUCGAGCAUGAGAACAUCAAACUCAUUUGAAAGAUCUUCCAGUUUAGAAAAAAUAAUUCAAUACAAACAUGGUACAUUGUGAUAAGGUAGCGAUCUCUUUAUGCAAGUAGAAGAAUCAAUUGUCAUUCACCUUGCCAAAUCUCUCCUUCAAUUCAUUCAACAUUUAGUGAGCAUUAAAAGCAUACACAAUACCAUUGAACAACUCCUUAAACUCACACUAUUCAUAAACCAAGAGAGGACUACAGCAUUAACCUUCUCCCACUAUUCAUGCAGUUUAGGUCAAAACUUAUUCUUGGUGUAAUAAUCGACAAAAUCUAACUUGCUUUUGCCAAGUAACCCUAUCCUCAUAGAUCUACUCCACAGUGCAUAGUUCUCAGUCCAGUUAACUGAAUACAUCAGCAAAUUACCUGGUGUGUCUGUAGGUUGAAGACACAAAGGAUGUCCCAGAAACCGAUAAGAAAAGAAGAGACAAAGGGUGAUUGUGCUCAAUUGAUGUCCCAUUACUCAAUACUUCUUCAACCACCAUUGACAGCUGACUUGAGCUUUACUUCACAAAUCCUAGCUACAAACUUAACUGCCAAGGACGACUCAACUCAGACUUGUUUGAAUUGAAGCAACUCCUCCCACUGAUCAAUCACAAGAGCGGUCAUCUCAAUAGCUAUGAACUCAACUGCUCAAGGACGAUUCAAAACAACUCCUCCCACUGAUCGAACAAGGGAAGAAGAAGAGGACAAAAAUGUACUGCAGCUACAUCUGGCUACAUGUAUACACUGUUAAGUCUACUGAUUGUUGACUUAAUAAACCAACAGUCUAACUGAUUGUCUAACUAACUUCAUCUUAAUUAGAUCAAAAGUUACAGCCUUGUCAUUUACUAUCUAUCAAAGCCAUCUCACAGUUACAAUACUCAGCUUGUCACUUUAGCUCAUUCUCUCUACAAAUUAUUAACACUGACUAGCAUAUAUAGGUUAAAUUAUUACAAUAUCAAACACCUAACAAGUAAUGAAAGAUGUGUAAACUGACAGUAGUUGUUUUUACAAAAAAGGAACAUUUCCAAUAUAUAAAAGCCAUUAAGCAAUCCGCUUAACUGCUAUUAUUGCAGAAUAUCAUCUAAUUUUAUAGUUACAAAACCAAUAUCUAAUAAGCAAUGCUAUAAUUACACCACCCAAAUGUGCCUUCAAACCCCAGCAGAAAAGUACAAUAAUGGAGAAAAACAUUAUCAAGGUAUUAGUAAGCAAUCCCUCUGGACUUCCCUAAGAAAAAUUUGGACAGAAAAUGUUUAACCUCUAUUACUUUGAUCAAGGAAGUACUGUUGACAAGAUGCAAGCUAAUGGAUUUAUGCAUAUACCAUCAUCACAACCACCUUGUGGGUCCUUUUCAAGUAGUGAAGUUAGCAUUUGUUCCGAAAAGUAUUAGCGACUCGGUGUCUUAUAAAUUUUUUCGCUUGUUGUGAGUCCAUAACUGAUGUUCCAUAAGCUCCCCAUCAGUCUAAAACCUCUUUCAGAUUGUACCUGCAAAUGUAUUAUCAGCACAAUAUAAACAAACAGUUGUGGACUUGAUAAAUGGACAACAUAUAUACUGGUUAAGGAAAAGAUACUACAUGCUGAAUUGGUUGAGGAAGGGUGGAAUAUACAAUCUUCACAUACAGGGUAUAAAGGUACCAUUUUUUUCGUCAUAGUGAUAUCAACCGCCAAUAUGUUAAGCAUUUCAAACUUUAAGACACCAUGUAAUCCAUCUCAUAUAUGGUGCAAAGCCAGUUGAAUAGAUAAGGAAAUCAUAAAAGAGAACUCUUGCUACAGUUAAAUGAGAAUGAGUGCAAUCAAGUUGCAAGUCUAAUUCCUACGGUCGUAGAAAAUUGGAACGAUGUACUCCCUUCAUUCCAAUUUAUUCCAAUUUAUGUGACAUAGUUUGACUCGGCGUGGAAUUUUAAAAAAGACUUUUGAAACUUGUGGUCUUAAACAUGCCAUAAAUUUUGUGUGGCUACAAGACUUUGAAACUUGUGAUCUAAAACAUGGCUAUAACAUUUGUAUGGCUAUAAAAGCUUCACAUCAAGGGCAAAAAAGUAAGUUAAAGUUACUUUUUUUCCAAAUAUAGAAAUGUGUCGCUCUUUUUUAAACAAACUAAUAAGGAAACAAUGUCAUAUAAACUUGAGCGAAGGAGUAGUAAUCACUUCAGUUGUAAGAGAAACAUAAUCCUAACAAGAACCCUUUCCUCUUCUACCUUCACGCCCCCAAAAAGAUUGAAAAGAAGAAGUUAGAACUCAUGAACAGUUACAAUGAUUUGUACACAAUCAUUUUUCUUCUUCUUUUCAUAUAGAUUUUUUGUAUUCCUCCGCUUAUAUAAUUUUCCCCAUUGUCCUCUGGAUCAUCGCCGAGGACUCUCCGAUCACUUGAUUUCAUAUUUUCAUAUCAUUUUUUCAGCUUACAGGGAGGUCAAUUACGAAUAUCUAAAGGGUCUUUGCAUAGAGAGAUGCAAGAGACCUCAUUCUAGUUCUAAUUACCUUAUUUUUGUGUUGGUGUUUUUCAAUUUUUUUUUAUUUUUUUUGUGUGGGGGGGUGUUUGAAUUUGGGAGAUGGGAAUAUAUUUGUAAACAAAUCGAAGUUGAUAAAGCGAUUCUGUCUUUAAAGACUCAAGGGUGUAAGCUUGCCAACAGGUAUAAGGAACUUCAUUUUCACCCUUUUUAAAUUCUUAUUGCAGUUCUCCUUUUUGUGGGCUAAACUUAAAUUGCUUUAUUCAGUCAAUUCUUUGCAGCAAAACGCUCAACUUUCAGAGAUCUAUUGCAAAAACAAUUUUUUUUAAAAAGAAAAUAGCUGAGGAUUGAGCGACUUAGUAAAAAAAUUUAAUUGGAUCAACAGCUGUUUGGCCAUCAGUUAAAAUUAUGGACAAAUCACUCAGCCAAGCGACUUGUCCGUUUUGGUUAAAUGAAAAAAGAAGUGGCCCUUUGUGCAUUUUAAUUAGGAAAAGUGGCCCUUUAGGCUACAGAUUCAUACCAAUUGAAUAUAGCUAAGAAUGUUGGCGGCAAGAUAAAUACAAACUGCCGGCAUCACGUAGUGGUCUCCAUGUUCCUCCUUAACGUGAGAGACAGAGGUAGUUGUCAUUGCACUCAACCUUAAUUACAUGAUGCAUGGCAACAAGAGGAUGGUGGCUAACGGUGAUAAUCUAAGUGGCAUAAAUAAGAAUCGCUAAGAAGACGACAGGAUAUGAGACACAAGGCAUAGGUAAAAUUAUGAACAGUCUCCUUUUUGUGCGUUACAGAAGGAACCCUUUCUUACCACAUGUAGUCUGUGUCGUUUAACAAAUUGAGCUUUAAUUUCCGCACAUCAAACUCCUGCUAUAGCUUUAGUGUCAUGCUCUGAACCCUGGAAAUGAAAAAAUGCACAGCCUAUUCAGUAGCAGAAAAAAACAUGACACAAAAUUAAGACAUCAAAAGUCUAUUGAAGUUUCCACAGAGUGUGAAGUAAUUUUUAAAAGACUGAUCUUAUUUAUAAGAAAAAGAAGAAGAGGAAGGAAAGAUGAAAGGUUGAUCAUUUGCUUCACUAAAGGCAUAUAUUCAAUUCAAUUGAGGUAGGGUCCUAAUUACAAGUAUACUGGUUGAUAAAAUUGUCUGGUUUCAGACUUCAGUUUCACUGAGAGUGCGACUGUGAGAGAGACGUUGAAGUGAAAGUUGUUUCUUCACAAAUACUACAACAAAAGAAUUACCAGGAGGAAAGCACAACAAUCACAGGUAAAUGACAAACCUCAGAUGGACUGCUUCGAACCUUCCUUGUAGGGGUUCGCAUGGUGACAAACUCCUCUGCUGCUGUAGGGUGAAUACCCACAGUGGCAUCAAAGUCCGCCUUGGUCAACCCUGCUUUGACUGCAACUGCAAAUCCCUGGAAGUUUCAUUAUGACAAAAAAUAUUACACGCAUAUUUUAUAAUAAUCAAUCUGAAAUAUCCACCAAAUAAUUAACGGUAACUCUAACCUGUACAAUUUCUGGUGCAUCUUCUCCACACAUGUGCAAGCCCAGAACUUUGCUCGUCUUUGAACAUACUAUUAGUUUCAUGAAAGCCCGAUCUGGCAGACCAGAAAGAGUAGCCUUUAAUGGCCUAAAAUUUGCUGUAUAAACAUCAACAUCACCAUAUUCUUUGAUGGCCUGUAAAAAAAAUUCAAAUCAUUAAUCAUAGUAAUUAAUUAUCAAUUCACAAGCUCUCGCUAUUAUACCUCUUCUUCUGUCAGGCCAACUAGUCCAAUAGGUGGCUGGGAAAAUACUGCACAUGGUACAUUCCUAUUUGGGAGAACAGAACACUCAGAUCAGGGGGCAGUUAUAGAUGAUUCUUUUUAAACAACUUAAAAUUCAGCUGUGAGAGCUUAUGCAUUUAACAUGGUAGAACCACAGAUCUUAAAGCACAUUGUACCAAUUUGUAGUCGAAAAUAAUUGGAGAAAUGUGCAUCUUUGGCUGUCCUUAUCAAACUUUUUAAGUCAUCAGAUGAAUUCUCAGAAGAAAGAAGAGGUACCUAUAAUCGGGUUUUGUGGGUUCACCAGCAAAAAUAGUUUUUGCCAAUGCUCCUCCCUCCAUCAAAGCUACUGGAGUUAGAUUAAUUCUAUCAGUAACAUCUCCAACUGCCCAAAUUGAUGGCACAGAUGUACGAGAAUACUCGUCAACCUAUAAAAACAAUUUGCAAAUUUACUCUCAUUCAAGAACACAUGCACUAAAUAGUUAAAGCAAAUUAGAAAAAAAAGGAGAGGAAGGCAGUCACCUCUAUGGCUCCAUUCUUUGUCAUUUUCACUCCCACUGUAUCUAAUCCUAAAUUCUGCAAUGUGUUUAAACAAAAAGAAAAUUAAGUAACUGAUGGUUACAACUUGAAUAUCCAAUCAAAGAGAGCAUGUGUUUGCAAAAAAAGAUGAAAGCAGUAAUAAGAGAAGACAACAUCCUUCCAGAUAAUAUGAACAAUAUCAAAGAACAAAUAACGAAGGAGUUGAUGAUGAAAAUAGAAGCAAAUUAAUCACCUUUACAGGAUCACCAGUCCAACCAAAUAAUUUAACGCCAUCCACCACCCCCCACCCCCACCAAAAAAAAACUGACUGGCCUUGGCAAUCUCACACCACCCAAAGAGGGGAUGGGAGAGAGAGCCCAAAAGAAGGUGCAAUAAAAGAUCUUCUUCUCAUCAGAGUACCUUGGAGUUUCACUGCACUAAAUGUGAUAAGAGCAAGCUUUCAGCCUUUCACAGGCAUGACAGGGUUUUGGGUUUAAUAUUGCCAAUUUUGGGGGGAGGGAGAAUGAUUGGCUAGAGGAGAAAUCACCAUGCUCUUCCUCCAUAAGGCUUCAAACAUAGCAAUUAACUGAAUUAACCUAUAAGGUCUAUCAGAGAUAAGCUACCCAACAGAAAGCGGAAUAAACCUUUGUAUUUGGACUUCGUCCUGUUGCAAACAUGAUAUGAGAGAAACCUUCAACUGUUCCUCUGUUAGUCUUUAAAGACAGUGAGCCAUCUGCUGACUUGACAAUAGCCUGAGGCGACUCCUCGGUAUGGAACUCAAUUCCUCUCAAUGACAUCUGUUCACCAACAAAAUCCCUAAUCUGCAUAUACAAAAGAAGUUGAGUGCAUCAUCCAGAUUUUGGGUUAUGAGAGAAAAUAAUUAACAAAAUCUACUCCGCAUGUCAGGGAAAAAUGACUCACUUCUUCAUCAAAGCCUCUCAAAACCUUCUUUUGUCGUAUAAAAACAUGGACCUCACUUUUUAAGCCAUUAAAGAUUCCAGCAAAUUCAAGUGCAAUAUAACCGCCUCCAACAAUGGCAAUUUUGUCAGGCUUCGUUGGCAAAUCAAGGGCAGCAUCAGAAUCUAUAGCAUACUCGCUUCCAGGAAUGUCUGGGAUAAAUGGGCGGCCCCCAACUGAAAUUAGUAUGUUCUUAGCCGAGUAUAGUUUACCAUCCACAUCCACCGUAUGAGGAUCCACCACCUGAAAGUACAGUCAAACACAAGGUAAUAUGCUUUAACUUGAAGCCUUAAAAAGCAUGAAAUUCAAAUUGUAACAUUUCCUAACCUUUCCCCGCCCUUCAAUCAGAGUAACAUCCGCAUUCUUCAGAAUAUUCUUGUAGAUACCCGUGAGGCGCUGCAACUCAGCAUUUUUAUUAGCAAUGAGGAUGCUCCAGUCAUGUUUAGGUUCUGCCUCAUAAUUCCAUCCAAAACCACAACUCUCCUCAAACUCAUGAGAAUAUUUUGAUGCAUACACGAGCAAUUUCUUGGGUACACAUCCACGAAGCACACACCUUUAUUAGAGAAAUCAAGAAAUGAUUACACUUAAUAAGAAACAAUAUUGUUUAUGUUACACUUCAUAUGAAAUUAUUUCUCCCCUGGUUUUAAUGUAUAGGACAUUCUUUUCAUUUUGGGAUGUCUCAAAAUGUUUGACAGCAUUCCAUUUCCAUACAACGUUCACAAUUAUCAAGAAUUCAACACAUUAAACUAUUCUGAUUUUAAAAUUUGAUGUGUGAUGUUUUCACUUUUCACUGUUAAACUAGCUUUUUAACCAUUAUUACAAUAUACUUAUCCAAUGUCACUAGUACAAUACGUAAGUCGUCUAAUAUAUCAUACUACAUACCUAGAAAAAUACGGUCAUAUAAAAUGAAAUGGAGAGAUUGAGGGAAUCUCACAAUUCUUUCUUUGAUUACGGUUUUCUAAAAGAUAUUUAGAUACUUCAAGAUAGAAAAUUGUGAUUUAAAGCACUCAUUUUUUCUAUCCAUCUCAAAAGAUUGGAUAAGAUAGAAUAAUUACUGUGCCUGACCAAGUCAUAUAUGGUUUUACCAUAUAACGACUUGGUCAAGUAACCGCUUCUCCGUAGAGAAUGGCAGAAGAAAACUUCACUUGAAGGUAAACGUGAUUAGCCAACGUGGAAUCAAGGCGGUCAGUUGAUGUGAAAAGGAGACAAUCAACUACCACAGCAUUAAUGGGAACAAGCUGAGCUUUUAGAGAACAAUUUUGAGUACAAUAGGAAGUUGUUUAGGCCCAUAAAGGCUAGCCCCAUAGAUACAAAAUGGACCUUUUGUACAUAAAAUGAACAUCACUCAUCAUCCAGCAUACAUGCAACAUGCAUAUUCUUUCACCUAAGUCGAUUCCAUUCAAUUCCAUUUUUUUACAAGCUUCAUGUUAAGAAGCUGGUAAAAAGAAACGAUGACAUCACAGGCAUUUACAACCUUACUGUACAAACUAUUUCCUUACAUUAAUACCAAUCAUAGUCUAGUUUCCCAAAAACAAUCUCACUCUCCCUAGUGCAAUAUGCACAAUUUUGAUAUCAGGACCUUCGGCGAAAUGAUCCUUUGAACAAUUGAACCCAUAUUCAUGAAAUGAUCCUGGAAUCCAUAGUAAAUCUGCAGAGUUUCCUAUGAAUCACAUAGCUCAUCCAGUUCGAUCAAUUCAGAAACUUUAGCAACAAUAUCAUAAAACAAUAUUACAAUUAGCUCAAAACAUAUUCGAGACAAAUAAAAUAGUUCAUAAUCCCCCAUCUUCUACACUAGUCUAUAACUAAACAAUUGGUUGAUUCUCCUUCACAUAAUUCCCCAAAUAACAAUAUAACAUGAGUAGUUAAAUACUAAAGAUGGCAUAUUUUCACUAUCAAAUUAAAAAAGGUACUAUAAUGAGAAACUCACGUGCCACCGACGCCGCCAGUUGAAUCAGAAGAUAUAGUAGAGAAAGGAAGCUCACAAACAGCAACCGAAGCCCCAAAAUUAGAAGCAAACCGAGAAGCCCUAACACCACCACUACCAGCACCUAUAGUGAAUAAAUCGAAAUCGUAAUGCCGAGGAGUUUCAGCUCCAUUAGAGGACUCAGCACGAGUGGUAGUGAAACGGCGGCCAUAAGAUAAUGAUGAGGUACGGGGAUGAGUGAGAAAAUUGAAGCGGAGAGGCUUGAUAGGGUUAGAGAGAGAAAGAAGAGAGAAAUUAGAGAAUUUAGUUCUGUAAAAAGUAUGAAAAGUUGGAGAAGAAAGAGUUGUGCUGAGCUUUGGUGAGCUCAAAGAUGUAGCCAUGGCGGAAUAAAUUUCUCUGUUCUUUUUUUUUGUGGUGAGAAAUAAGUAAAGGCAGUUCCGAAUUUGUCUCUGUUUUUUGUUUUUUUUUUUUUUGUGAUUCGGAAAAUCUCCGAAAGAUAGCUAUUCAAACUUUACUUCUACGCAGCUUUUGUUUGUUUAUUUCUUUUGGAAAUUUGACUAUUUUGGAAGUAUCUAAUUAUUCGACUAUAGAAUAAAAUAAUUUUAGUUGGCAUGUGAAUAUGUUUUAUUGUGAAAUUUAAAAAAAAGUAUUUUUUUUAAAUAAGUAAAAAAGUUAAUUUUAAAAAUUGAAGUUGUUUUUUUUACUUUAAGUGAAAAUACUUUUUUAUUAUUAUUUAAAUCUUUUGAAAAUUCUAUAAUUCAACUUUGGGUUAAAUUUCUAAAUUUUAUGGCUAAAUAUAAAGUGAAAAAGAAAAUCAGAGCCAAAUGCCUUCUUAUUAUCAAUUUUAAUUUUGGUACAAAAUAAUCAUUGUUAUUAGUCAAAUAAUUUUAAAAUAUCUUUGUCACUAAGUAGGCGUUAGGUCAUACGAUAUCAAUUCAUAAUAUGAAAUUAGUAUUUGGACAUGCGAUUUCACGCUGAUUUCAUCUCAUGAUUUCGUAUCAUGAAAUGAAAUCUCAAAUUCUCCAAAGACCAUGAUUUGGGAAUUCCAUAUCAUGAUUUAGGAUUUUUCAAAUACAAAAAUUGACCAACAAGUUUAUAUUUUGUUAAAAAAAAUACAUUUAUAUCUACUAGCCAUUUUUUAAUAUGUAAAUAAAAUUUAUAAUUCAUAUAAUUACUUUUAAACCGUUUAUAUCUCAUACAACAAUUAUUCUUGUCAAUAAAAAAAAAUUACUUCAGAUUUAUUCUUAAUUUACCAUUGUUUACCAAAUUCAUGAUUUUUUAAUCAAAUUUAUUACCAUUUCAUUCAAAUCAUUGUUAGAUGAAAAAGUAAAUUAAUCAUUAUAUUGAGCGAACAAGACUAAUCAUUGUGACAUUAAUUGAAAAACAGUUUUCUUAGCUAUUAACAACUUAAACAUUAUAACUUAUAUUCAAUUUAAUUUUUUUUAUUGAAUUAAGGUUUGAUCAAUAAAUGUUGUAUUUUUUAGAAUAGUUUUGUUAGGGUAUUAUGCAAUUUUUAUUUUAUUUUUUUACUUAUUUGGUAAGAUUGUAUGAAAAAUUGAAACAAUUUUAAUAGUUUCACAACUUAUGAGGUUUUUAUGAUUAUGUGAAAAUAUACAUCAUAAAAAGUCCAAACCGCAUGUCCAAACAAAACUUUAACUUCAUCUCAUGAUUUCAUAUCGCACAGUUAAACUCAACUCAAAUGAUAAAAAAAGAUUCAAUUUUAUCCUUGAAUUGUUCAAAAUAGAAGAAUUUCACCCAAUAAUUUUUUAUAUUUCAAACACAAAUUUAAAUAUAUCUUUUUUCACAUUCAUUAUCAAUGCAACUAAUAUUUAAAACAAUUUUUGUUAAUACAAAAAAUUGAAAAAAGUACUUUAUCUAAAAAAUUGAAAAUGUUACGAAUAUCAAUGACAAUUAUAAAAUAACGUACUUAAUAAGAUAAAGAAUAAAAAGGAUAAGCAAAGGAAGAUUAAUAAGAAGUUCUAAAAUUUGUAGUGCAAAUAUAUAAUUAUAUUUAAUUGGGAAUUAAUACUUUAUACAAAUAUUUUUUUGUUGUUAAGCAAAUUGAACAAACUAUAGAAUUAUUGACUAACUAGGCAAUAUAUAUGCGCUUCACAUAGUUAUAAAUAACUUCAUUAAGCUUAGAACAUCCUUUUCAAUAUUAUAUUAUUAAAAAAAUAAGUAAAUUAUGAUAAAAACUACGGUACAUUUUUUUAAGAAUGUUUCAUAAAAAAAUUAUUAGAUAUUAUUACAUAUCUCAAUUCUCAAAGACUAUAGAUUUAUAAUUCGUUUUUGAAAAAGUCUUGAUGUCCGAUCAAUUUCAUCUUUUACAUAUUUCUUUAUCUAACAUUUGUUUGUUGAUAUAAUUAUUUUUUCAAUGUUAAUUGAUCUUUUUAUCAAAUCAUUAAUCAUCAGUACUUUUUAUCUUUUCAUACACGUAAAGAUCUAUAUAAUUUUUCAUCAUAAUUGUGGAGGAUAUCUUUGUAAAUAAAUAUUUUUAUGCAAUGCAUAUUAUUUUUAAUACAUCAAAUCAUGUAUAAGAAAUAAUUAUGUAAAAUCAAUACAAGCAUUACUAAUACAUUCUAUUUAAUGUCAUUCUUGUACACCUUAAUUACCAAAUGAUCUUUUAGAUACAUACUCUGCACAGUUAGAGAAAGGUAGGAGCAUUGUGGAGGUCGAAGUUUAAUCGGUUGCCUUUUGUUGAUCUUCAUAUUAUUAUUUUUAUAUUUUCUUUUGGAUGAUUUAUUAUUUUUCUUUCAAGUUUAUGUGGAGCUAAACUUCACGUUCUGAAAAUCUGAUAAACCAUGAAUAUUGACGUUUGACGAUUAUUUUCAAUCUUAAUAUGAAUUAUCAAUUGUGAUUGUUUCUUUAAUUUUGUGCACAAUUGGUUGAUUGUUUGACAAACAUUUAGGUUCUAUCAACUACUUGAGACAUGCUUGAGAGAGAUUAUUCUUAGACUAGAGAAGAAUUAAAGAAGACUUGAUCUAAUUUCGUUAAAUUUAUGUCUAAGAUAAAGAUAUAUUUGGUUAUUUUGUUCAAUUAAAUAUCGUAAACUCAAUGCGUUCUUAAUAAAUUAAUUUCAUAAAAAUACAAUUGUGACAAUAGAUUUUGAAUAGACAAGUAAUAGUUUAGGAGAAUAAUACGAGUAAAUCUAAUCAGAUUAAUUAGCAAAUCAAUUCUGAAGAGACAGUUUGAGAACUCAAUAGGAUUGGUGAACCAACCGGAGAGUCCCUAACAUUCAUCUCAUUUGAUAACAUAAAAUCCACUACUUGUUUGUUACAGUUCAUUAUUGAUUUUAUUUUUAUUUUAGUUGGUUCAUAAUUAUAACUGAAAAAGUAAUAAGAAUAAGAGGUGUUAAGUUUUUUUAUCAUCCUGGCGUCGAGCUCCUCUCCUCUUUACUAAAAUAUUAUUUCGGAUGAAUGGGGAAUUAUGUCGUUUUUUUAUCCGCAGAAUAAGACUUAGGAGCUCUCUCUUUUAUGGCAGAGAUCUCUCCAUACCAAGAAAGUGAAUCACAAUGGAUCGAAGCCCUCCCUUUCCUUUCAUUUAGUGAGAUUCUAUCUCUUACUUGGAAAAUUGUGGUCAAGCCCUCCCUUUAUUCUUCGGAAUCGAGCGGGCAGCAAGAAUUAGAAUCAACCUAUAUAACAUUUGUUUCGAUGUAGUCGGCAUUCUAGAAGCAAAGCUUCCUGGUUGCCUGCCUCCUUGUGCAUAAAUGCGUUUCAUGAUCUCUAGCUCUUUCCCAUCAGCUCGUUCUUUACUAGGCAUCUAGACGAACCUGGUUUACAUCUUGAUUAACAUUAGUUUAAUUUAGUAAAUAAUUAAUCACAAGUCCUUAUUGGGCGAUACUACUCUUAUCACAUUAUUAUUUGUUCGACUACAUAUACUUAAAGAGUAAACAAUAACCUCAUAUUUCUUUUUUCCCUUUCUAAACAUCACUAAUUUUGUUCAAUGUUUAAUGCAUCACAAAUUGAAGGAUUAUUGAAAGAGGUUGCUAGAAGUGGAGAAGGAAAAAUACAAUACUUCAAUUGAAGAGUCUAAGAGAUACAACAUCAAGAGAAGUAGUUAAAGUUGAUUAUAGUAUCACAUAAUAAUACACAAAGUUUAAAGAGAGAGUCCAGAUUCUUCAUCAUCAUCAAUUCCAGAAGUGUAGACAGUGUAGAGAGACCAAAUCAAACCAAAUACACCAAAAAGGAUCCAACCAAGAAGAUUGUUGCUGAGUCCAAAUG
rnacentral:lncRNA from 1 species